rnacentral:rRNA from 1 species
CAGCUGAGCGGUAGAGUCUCUUCGGAGACUUGAGAGCGGCGUACGGGUGCGGAACACGUGUGCAACCUGCCUUUAUCAGGGGGAUAGCCUUUCGAAAGGAAGAUUAAUACUCCAUAAUAUAAUUUACGGCAUCGUGAAUUAUUGAAAACUCCGGUGGAUAGAGAUGGGCACGCGCAAGAUUAGAUAGUUGGUGAGGUAACGGCUCACCAAGUCGAUGAUCUUUAGGGGGCCUGAGAGGGUGAUCCCCCACACUGGUACUGAGACACGGACCAGACUCCUACGGGAGGCAGCAGUGAGGAAUAUUGGACAAUGGGUUAGCGCCUGAUCCAGCCAUCCCGCGUGAAGGACGACGGCCCUAUGGGUUGUAAACUUCUUUUGUACAGGGAUAAACCUAUCUACGUGUAGAUAGCUGAAGGUACUGUACGAAUAAGCACCGGCUAACUCCGUGCCAGCAGCCGCGGUAAUACGGAGGGUGCAAGCGUUAUCCGGAUUUAUUGGGUUUAAAGGGUCCGUAGGCGGAUGCGUAAGUCAGUGGUGAAAUCUCACAGCUCAACUGUGAAACUGCCAUUGAUACUGCGUGUCUUGAGUAAGGUAGAAGUGGCUGGAAUAAGUAGUGUAGCGGUG